rnacentral:rRNA from 1 species
GACAGAGGGUGCAAACGUUGUUCGGAUUUACUGGGCGUAAAGAGCGUGUAGGCGGCCAAACAGGUCCGUUGUGAAAACUGGAGGCUUAACCUCCAGACGUCGACGGAAACCGUGUGGCUAGAGUCCGGAAGAGGAGAGUGGAAUUCCUGGUGUAGCGGUGAAAUGCGCAGAUAUCAGGAAGAACACCAAUGGCGAAGGCAGCUCUCUGGGACGGUACUGACGCUGAGACGCGAAAGCGUGGGGAGCGAACAGG